AACAUGCAUACACAAAAUAUAAUAUAGUCAAAUUUCUCUAACACUUGUAUUAAACUUAACGUAAGCAUAAGGAAGGCGUAUACGUAAACACAGUUAUGUACGAGUACUAAGUACAACUAUUGCUAAACACAUCUAUUUGCUCACUUCGAGUUUGCCGAGUUAUAAUUAACAUAUUCACUAUACAUAAAUAGGCGAAAUAUGAUUAAAAACGAUUUAAUCUACUUAAACGCUAAAAGCAGUAUAUACUUACUACGAUCUAUUAUUAUAAUUACAUUUUAAUUUACUGUGGCACUUCACUACACUAGAGACU